rnacentral:lncRNA from 1 species
GAAGAUACUGCUGUUUGGUUUUGUUUGUUUAUUUCAGAAUUGUAUUGUCUACAUCGAUUAAACCAUCACUCAAUGUGGAAAGAUGUACAAAAGUUUUAAUGACGAGACGGUCAUUCAAGAAAAAAGACGAAUCCUGGACGAGGAGUGGACUUACAUGCAUAUAGAAAUUGAAUGGAUAACUUGGAAAGAACUUUAUUACAUUCAAACAUGUAAACUUUGCGUUGGUAGCGAUAACUUCUGAUAUCCAGGGUUAGUCGCUUGAUUUAUGGCAGAUUUCGCUGCGCUUAGAUAACAUAUUUGCAGUUUACAGACUUAUUGUAAUCGUAUGAUAGCAUUAGCCUCUGAUUUCCAGGGCUAAUAGCUUAUCUUGAACUUCCCCUUUUCAUAUAUGGUCUGCCACCUCAAACAUAUUCGGCGAUCAUCAUAUAACAUUUUCAAAGACACAUAUGCAUUUUUAUCAGUUAAUUUUAGUUCAUAGAUCUACAUGUAUCACAAAUUGCAUUUCAUAUAAUAGUACAUAUAUCAUAUCACAAAUUGCAUUUCAUAUAAUAGUACAUAUAUCAUAUCACAAAAUGCAUUUCAUAUAAUAGUACAUAUAUCAUAUCUGUUAAUAAAUGCUGUGGCCAUUUCCUGCCAAUAACAAUCUUGUUAUUUUUU